GGAAAGGGGGGAGAGGGGGGGGGGGGAAGAAAAGGAAGGAAAAAGAGAGGGAAAAGGGAGAAAAAGGGGAAAGGGAAGGGAAAGAGAGAAAUUUAGGCCUCCAUUACAUAAAAAACAAAUAAAAAACUGAGAAUGUGGAGUUUUGUGUGCAAUUGUUCGAGAAGCCCCUGAUUGCAGCCCGCAGACGGAGCCCACAUGGAGGGGGCGGGCACUCAGUCCACAUGGAGGGGGCUGGCACUCCGCCCACAUGGGGGGGGCGGGCACUCAGUCCACAUCAAGGGGACGGCCUGUCAGUUCACAUUGGUCAAACAGCAUUUCUGAUCCCGUUUCUGACCUGAAAUUAGCUGAAAUUGACCUGAAAUUAGCUGAAAUUAGAGUGUGCCCGCCCGAGCGAGUGAUGCCUAAAACAUGCAAACAAAACUGAAGACCAGGAACUGGAACCUGGGAACCUGGAAGAUGAUGUUGUCCUGAAGGACACAAUUCAGGCAGCAGCAUGGUGCCAGUUACAGUCCUUCAAGGACAGCGUUU
rnacentral:lncRNA from 1 species